rnacentral:rRNA from 1 species
GAUGAACGCUGGCGGCGUGCCUAAUACAUGCCAGUCGAGCGAACAGACGAGGAGCUUGCUCCUCUGACGUUAGCGGCGGACGGGUGAGUAACACGUGGAUAACCUACCUAUAAGACUGGGAUAACUUCGGGAAACCGGAGCUAAUACCGGAUAAUAUACUGAACCGCAUGGUUCAAUAGUGAAAGACGGUUUUGCUGUCACUUAUAGAUGGAUCCGCGCCGCAUUAGCUAGUUGGUAAGGUAACGGCUUACCAAGGCAACGAUGCGUAGCCGACCUGAGAGGGUGAUCGGCCACACUGGAACUGAGACACGGUCCAGACUCCUACGGGAGGCAGCAGUAGGGAAUCUUCCGCAAUGGGCGAAAGCCUGACGGAGCAACGCCGCGUGAGUGAUGAAGGUCUUCGGAUCGUAAAACUCUGUUAUUAGGGAAGAACAAAUGUGUAAGUAACUAUGCACGUCUUGACGGUACCUAAUCAGAAAGCCACGGCUAACUACGUG